GCCAGAAUUAAUGUUAGGGCUUAAAGGCACCAAAUCCUGUCUGAUCUUAGAAGCUAAAUAGGGUCAGCCAAUGUUAGUAUUUGAAUUGGAAACCGUUGAUGAAUACCAGGUGCUAUAGGCU
rnacentral:rRNA from 11 species